rnacentral:rRNA from 1 species
CCCUUAGAUGUUCUGGGCCGCACGCGCGCUACACUGUCGGAUUCAGCGAGUCUUAACCUUAACCGAAAGGUUUGGGUAAUCUUUUGAAAGUCCGACGUGAUGGGGAUUGAUCAUUGCAAUUAUUGAUCAUGAACGAGGAAUUCCUAGUAAGCGCGAGUCAUCAGCUCGCGUUGAUUACGUCCCUGCCCUUUGUACACACCGCCCGUCGCUCCUACCGAUUGGGUGUGCUGGUGAAAUGUUCGGAUCGGCCGUUUGUCGCGGUUUCCGCGUCAUGUGGCUGAGAAGUUCAUUAAACCCUCCCACCUAGAGGAAGGAGAAGUCGUAACA